rnacentral:lncRNA from 13 species
CUCUCUCAGUUCUGUUCUCUCAGUUCUGUUCUCUCUCAGUUCUGUUCUCUCAGUUCUGUUCUCUCUCAGUUCUGUCCUCUCUCAGUUCUGUCCUCUCUCAGUUCUGUCCUCCCUCAGUUCCGUUCUCUCUCAGUUCUGUCCUCUCUCAGUUCUGUUCUCUCAGUUCUGUUCUCUCAGUUGUGUUCUCUCAGUUGUGUUCUCUCUCAGUUCUGUUCUCUCUCAGUUCUGUUCUCUCUCAGUUCUGUUCUCUCUCAGUUCUGUUCUCUCUCAGUUCUGUUUUCUCUCAGUUCUGUUCUCUCUCAGUUCUGUUCUCCCUCAGUUCUGUUCUCUCAGUUUCGUUUUCUCUCCGUUCUAUUCUCUAAGGUCUUUUCUCUCUCAGUUCUGUUUUCUCUCAGUUCUGUCCUCUCUCAUCUCUUGGUUCUUCUUCCACCUCGCUCAGCCUGCUUUGCCCCUUUAUAGAAAGUAUUUUCC